CCUACGGGAGGCAGCAGUGAGGAAUAUUGGUCAAUGGCCGGAAGGCUGAACCAGCCAUGCCGCGUGAAGGUCAGUGCCCUAUGGGCGUUAAACUUCUUUUGUGCGGGAGCAAUAAUGGUCACGUGUGGCCAGACGAGAGUACCGUACGAAUAAGCAUCGGCUAACUCCGUGCCAGCAGCCGCGGUAAUACGGGGGAUGCAAGCGUUAUCCGGAUUUAUUGGGUUUAAAGGGUGCGUAGGCUGGGAGGUAAGUCAGCGGUGAAAUGCCCCCGCUCAACGGGGUGAAGGGCCAUUGAUACUGCCUUGCUGGAGUGCGGAUGCCGUGGGAGGAAUGUGUGGUGUAGCGGUGAAAUGCAUAGAUAUCACACAGAACACCGAUUGCGAAGGCAGCUCACGAAUCCGCGAUUGACGCUGAUGCACGAAAGCGUGGGUAUCAAACAGGAUUAGAUACCCCAGUAGUC
rnacentral:rRNA from 1 species